rnacentral:rRNA from 1 species
AAGCUCGUAGUUGAAUUUCGGGUCUGGCCGGGCGGUCCGCCUUCCGGGUGAGUACUGUUCCGAUGUCGGGCCUAUCCUUCUGGUGAGACGGCAUACCCUUUGCUGGAUGUGUCGGGGAACCAGGACCAUUACCUUGAAAAAAUUAGAGUGUUCAAAGCAGGCGCAUGCUCGAAUACAUUAGCAUGGAAUAAUGAAAUAGGACGCGUGGUGCUAUUUUGUUGGUUUCUAGAACCGCCGUAAUGAUUAAUAGGGAUAGUUGGG